UCUCCGCCGCGCGUCUCCGCGCGCACGCAUGCGUCAAACCGGCAGCCCGCCACGAGGAGAUUUACAUCCUAUGUUUCUUCAGAUGCCACUGAAAUUAUUGUCAAAAAUAAAAAAAAGGAGCAUUUUUUUGGUGGGGGAAAUACCCCUCACCCCUCCCGACCUGCAGAACAAGAGGACGCCCCCGACUCUUUCCCAACACGAGCGCCGUCUGGAUUCCUGCAAUCCGCAGACCGCGAUUUUCGUCAGCAUCCACGAGGGCCAACAGUGCCUCCACCGAGUGUGAGACCCGAUCCUCGAGACGUGCACACAGCUUCAGCCAGGAUUUGCAGUUGAGAGGUGGUACAAACAGCUGCUUUAGGAAUCGGAGCUGGACUGUAGGUAUUGUAAAACCGACAGACAACUCAAAUAUGAAGUAACGUAAAAGAGACAGUUGAAGAACGUAAAAGCUUUUGAGGUCAGAGCGACUGAUGGGAGAAAAAAAAAUACAAAUCUGUAUCAGCAAAUGAUUAAUUAAUUUUAGUUGAAUGAUCUGCUUUUGCAUUGCAAGAUACCAGUUCCCAUUUCUUUUGCACUUUUACAGAAGAUCUCAAGAGACCGCCAGUUCAAAAGACGGUUCAAUUUAAGAGUUCCCAUCGGAAAUGGUUUCAGAAAGUCUUUGCCAUACGUUGGCGCUUUGAUGUGUUUUAACUAUCGUAAUCUUGCUGUUCAGCGAUGGGAUAAUAAAUUAUGUUCAUUAUUCCACCGUA